GAGAAUUAUAUUUAAUAUUUGAGUUUUGAUAAUGAGAACUUAUAAAUUGAUUUAGAAUAAAAAAUAUAAUCAUGUCAUUAAUCAAAUAAAUGAGUUAAGAAUUUUAAUCCUAAUAUGACAAAAAAAAAAACAUAUCGACCUAUACUCAAUCUCUUUAAUAAUCAUAUUAAAUUUAACAAUUGAUAUCUAUUUAUUUUGUCACGUUCAUAUCAAAUAAUUGAGUCAUGUCAUAAUCGAAUGCGUCAAAUUUUCUUAGCUCCAAUUCUAAUAAUAUAAAAAUCAGGUGACGUGUAUCAAUUGAUUUUGUGCCCAAUCAAUUCGUAGCAUGUCAUCUUUUGGCUGGAUCGAAGAGUACAUGUGCUAGUGGGUGGGGGUUUUUUUUUAAUUCAGAAUCCAGUGAGCGACAAUUCCACAAAUUAAAAAAGAACGUGCUAUUUUUUUUUAUGUGCACGUGGUCAUUGACUUGAUCUUCUUUGAAUCUUUGUGCUGGAUGACGCACCCUUGUGUCCUCCAAGCACUAGUCACUUGGCCCACUCUUUGCCCAACAAUUUCGAUGUAAACAUCUCAGCAGUCUACAAUUAACCCAUCAAUUUGUUUGAACGGCGGUAUCACUCAACCUCCUCUGCAUAGAAAUGGCAAAAAAUCACUAUGGGUUAGGGGGCAUAGGAUUUCGGAAUUAAUUUUAUCUUUGUUUUUAGUAAAAUUUUUAAGUUGAUUGGAUGGGUAGGGCACCGGUAUAAAGCACAAUGACCCGUACCCACAAAUUAAACUCAUUUGACUGAUGAUUAAUUAUUAUUUUAAAAUUAAAAUUAACAAAUAAAUCAAAUAAAUAUUAAAAUAAAAAUAAAACCUUAAAACAUAAAUAUUAGCCGCUUAAGUUUCAACUUUCAUGGAAUAUGAAAAAACAAAAGUCGAUUUUUGAUAGCAUGUUUUGGUAUUUACAAAUUACAAUUGAAAGUCAUACACUUGAAAUUCCAAGUGAAAAAUUCAAAUUGAAACUCAUAAACUUCACUCAACAAAUAAUAAGGAGAAAUAUUGAAAGUUUUCUUCUUAUUAUUUGUUGCAGUUUUUUAUGUUCAAAUUGAUUGUUUUAAAAUAAUUUAGAAUAUUGUGCUGCAUGUUCAUCUAGGGUUAAAUAAUUAAGAUGUGUGUAUUUUUUUUUUUCUCCUAAUAUAUGCAAGAUGUUGGAAAAUAUAAGGAAAUAUAUGGGAUAGAGGAAGGUGAGGGUAUUUAUACCUUUUUCUACAAAUCUCCGACCAAUACUUGUUCAAGCUCACAACAUGUAAGAGUUAAUAAUGAGAAUAUCUUCUGCCAAACAGGUACGAGUAUGACAAUUGACAUUCCUGCACAGUACCCCGCCAUUGCCCUCCCUGAUUUGAGAUUUUGAGGCUUUUUUUUUUUUUUUUUUUUGUAUUUGUAAGUUCAAAUUAUAUUGAUAUGAAGAAUAUAAAGAUUGUAACUAUACUAUAUUUUUUUCAGAAACAAAAAUCAUUAACACCAACAUUUUCUUUUUUCCAUUUACUUUCACAAUCGAGAUGAGUAGGUGACAAUCCAAUUCAAUUAAAGGAGUUAUUGGCAUCAAACAAACAUAGUCAAAUUUCAUUCAACCUACCAACAGAGUUGACAAAUUAAACCCCUAUUUUGAUGCCUUUAUCUCCUUCUACUUGCUCACACAUAGGUAUACGGAGAUAAUAUUUUUGCCCACGUUAUCAAAAAGAAAACCCAAAACUUUGAAAUUAUUUUAUAAUCGUUAAUAAAAAGAAUAUUAUUAAUCAAUUUAUAGUAAGGCCCCGUUUGGGAUUGCUUUUAGGAGGGUUAAAAGUGAUUUUAAAAAUUUAAAAAUUAAUUUUGGUGUUUGGUAAAAAAAAUUCAAAAUCACUUUUGCCAUAAUCAGCUCUUCCUAGUUUCUACAGCUAAUUUUGAAAAACAGGGAAGGAGUAACUUUUAGAUUCUGAUUUUGAAAAUCAAUUUUAUCAUUUAAUAUAAUUUCAUAAAUAUCCUUACAAUUAUUAGUUAAACCCAAAAUUAUCCUUAUUUAAAUUGGAAACAAAAUCAAUAUUUUAAUAAUUUUUUAUUAUAAUUAACGCACACCUUCCGUAGUUCCGUUUACCCUAUUUCUUUAUAUUUUGUGUUCUAUCAAAACUUCUCUAGUGCAACAAAGCAAGAUCUAGUACGUGUUCUAUCACCAUAUUCAAUAACAGUAAGUGAUUCAUCACCCUUUUCAUGCAUAUUCAAUGUAAUUUUUAUUAUAAUAUUUGUUAUUUGUCUUAUUUGGGUUUGUUUAUAUAUAAACAAUUCUAUGCCCAUAUAAUUUUUAUUACAAUAUUCAUUGUUUGUCUUAUUUGGAUUUUUUAUUAUAAACGAUUCUAUGGCUAUGCAAUUUUUAUUAUUAUAAUAUUUGUUGUUUGCCUUACUUGCGGUUUACAUAUAAUUUCCGGUGACUGGUUAGUUUUUAAAGUUCGUUGCAUAAUGAAAAAGACGAAAAUGUUAUCUUUCACGUGGUAUUGUACGUGUACAUUUUUAUAUGUAUAAGUAAAUUUCAUCUUACAUUAUGUACAUUUUAGUCAUUUAUUUUUUUACAGCAGUUUAACAAUAAGAUUUACCAAACACCCAUAACUGCUUUCAAAAUUCACAGUACUUUUAAAAAUAAAAUUUACCAAACACUUAACUGAUUUUCUUCACAGCUGAUUAUUUCUACAGCACAACUAACAACAAUUAUUUUAAAAACUGCAGCAUUACUAAACUGGCCCUAAGUCUUCCAGUUGGGGCUGCAACUAUGUCUGUCUAUUUCAUGGAAAGAAACCAUUAGUCCUUGUCUAAGUGUGAACUAGGCAUCGUUCAUCUUUAAUAUUGAUAGAGACUUUUAAAUUGGCAAUGAGUGUUAUCAUGCUUACUUGGAUAUCAUGUCUUUCUCCAUUUGUUCAUUAUCACUACAAUUUUGACUGCUUGUGGCUAGUGCAUCACACCUGUUGAUGCAUCUUUGUCAUAACUAACGCAAUCGAUAAAUGGAAAUUAAAGAUUUGGAUUUUAAUUAACUUAUAGAAUAACGAUAAAACUCAUUUCAAUUUAGAGACACUUAUAGUUGGUGGUAGAGAAAUUCAAAUUAUUUGAUUAAAUAAUUUAAGUUAAUAGAUAAACAUGAGAAAUAUGGAUUUAGUCAAGAGAUCAUAAUUAGGCUGAGAGAUAAGA
rnacentral:lncRNA from 1 species